AGCUCCAAUAGCGUAUAUUAAAGUUGUUGCGGUUAAAAAGCUCGUAGUUGGAUUUCCGCUGAGAACGGGCGGUCCGCACUAUGUGCGUGUAUCUGUUACGGUCUUGGCGUCCUCUCGGUGAGCGUGUUCGUGCUUGAUUGCAUGUCGCGGCAUCCGAGACUUUUACUUUGAGGAAAUUAGAGUGUUCACGGCAGGCAUUCGCUUUGAAUAUAUUAGCAUGGAAUAAUGAGAUAGGACCAGUUUCCUAUUUUGUUGGUUUCUAGGAAUCAGGUAAUGGUUAAUAGGGAUAAUUGGGGGCAUUCGUAUGAAGAUGUCAGAGGUGGAAUUCUUGGAUUAUCUUCCGACGAACUACUGCGAAAGCAUUUGCCAAGGAUGUUUUCA
rnacentral:rRNA from 1 species